GUGGCCGCACGUGUGGCAAUAAAUGCAGAUGCGCGUCGUGCGUCAGUGGGAAAUGCUCCAAUCACCCCGAACCAGCCCGAGGGCAUCACACGCGAGGCUUUCUGCAGAUUCAUCACCCGCUGACGUCCACUUGAUAACCGGCUGAUGUCCACUCGGUGACCCGCUGGUCUCAGCCGGCUCUUUCAGUGGGAGGUUAUUUGGUGAUGUCACGUGUCCCGCAGCAGUAGCCGGGUUCCAACACUUGUGUGUGGUAUCGGUCCCGGGUGUGAAGGGGAGUCUCUGGCGGCCAGACAGGGUACGAUCAGCAUCGAACAACCAUUACAGCAACCGAAGAAGAGCCGCAGAAUAGCAACGGGAUCGUUUUCCAAUCCAAUGUGACCAAACACAAAGUCUUAACUGUAUUGGUGUCUUGUUCUGUUUUUACUCCAGAGAUAGUUAGGCUCUGCAUCCGAUAAAGAAAAUAAAACAUUCUGGUUCUGAGCUCUUGUA